rfam:Triticum aestivum genome assembly, contig: Triticum_aestivum_CS42_TGACv1_scaffold_591843_7BS
AUACUACUCCCUCCGUUCGGAAUUAGUUGUCGCAAAAAUGGAUGUAUCUAGAUGUAUUUUAGUUCUAGAUACAUCCAUUUCCGAGACAAGUAAUUCCGAACGGAGGGAGUGACUU